rnacentral:rRNA from 1 species
CAGAGCUUGCUCUGGCUGACGAGUGGCGGACGGGUGAGUAACGCGUGGGAAUCUACCUUAUAGUGGGGGAUAGCCCGGAGAAAUCCGGAUUAAUACCGCAUAAUCUCUACGGAGCAAAGUGGGGGAUCUUCGGACCUCACGCUAUUAGAUGAGCCCGCGUUAGAUUAGCUUGUUGGUGGGGUAAUGGCUCACCAAGGCGACGAUCUAUAGCUGGUUUGAGAGGAUGAUCAGCCACACUGGGACUGAGACACGGCCCAGACUCC